rnacentral:rRNA from 1 species
GUUGAACGCUGGCGGCAUGCUUUACACAUGCAAGUCGAACGGUAACAGGCCGCAAGGUGCUGACGAGUGGCGAACGGGUGAGUAAUGCAUCGGAACGUGCCCAGUCGUGGGGGAUAACGCAGCGAAAGUUGCGCUAAUACCGCAUACGAUCUAUGGAUGAAAGCGGGGGACCGGAAGGCCUCGCGCGAUUGGAGCGGCCGAUGUCCGAUUAGGUAGUUGGUGGGGUAAAGGCUCACCAAGCCGACGAUCUGUAGCUGGUCUGAGAGGACGACCAGCCACCCUGGGACUGAGACUCGGCCCAGACUCCUACGGGAGGCAGCAGUGGGGAAUUUUGGACAAUGGGCGCAAGCCUGAUCCAGCAAUGCCGCGUGCAGGAAGAAGGCCUUCGGGUUGUAAACUGCUUUUGUACGGAACGAAACGGUCCUGGUUAAUACCCGGGGCUAAUGACGGUACCGUAAGAAUAAGCACCGGCUAACUACGUGCCAGCCGCCGCAGUAA